rnacentral:lncRNA from 1 species
GACUCUCAAAGUCUCAGACUCUCCCCUUCUCCCCCUGUGGCGCCGUGCUGUCCCCAUUUUGCUUCCACCUUCUAGCCUUCCAGGUUCGAUUAGCGAGUCCCGGCAGUCCGUCGAGCCACCUCCACUGCUCCACGCCUGAACCACGUCCACGGCUCCACUGCGAGUCUGCGACAGUCGCAGUUUCAAAGCUUUAAUCCAGAUCCCAGGUAUUAGAUUUUUGGUUGAUUGAUUGUCAUUGCUGAUGAGUUGUUGAUGAUGGUGGGAAUGGGUUGUUGUCUUGUUGAAUGUUUGAUGAUUGAUUGUCAUUGCUGAUGGGUAAUGGGUUGUUGAUGAUGGGUUGAUAAUUGGGAAUAGAUCUUUGUAUCGGGUUGUUGCUGUUACAAUGAGUCAAUGAUUAAGGUUAGAAAUAACUCAGUAAGCUGCGAAAAAGAGUACAGAAAGAUCACAAUCAUAUUAUCCUUUUCUUUUUUUUCUUUUUUUAAUUUCUGGCUUGUGUUCUUUAAUUAACGGUCC